CAGCCGCCGCGGUAAUACGAAGGGGGCUAGCGUUGUUCGGAAUUACUGGGCGUAAAGCGCACGUAGGCGGAUAUUUAAGUCAGGGGUGAAAUCCCAGAGCUCAACUCUGGAACUGCCUUUGAUACUGGGUAUCUUGAGUAUGGAAGAGGUGAGUGGAAUUCCGAGUGUAGAGGUGAAAUUCGUAGAUAUUCGGAGGAACACCAGUGGCGAAGGCGGCUCACUGGUCCAUUACUGACGCUGAGGUGCGAAAGCGUGGGGAGCAAACAGGAUUAGAUACCCCGGUAGUCCCUGUCUCUUAUAC
rnacentral:rRNA from 1 species